rnacentral:rRNA from 1 species
UACGAAGGGGGCUAGCGUUGCUCGGAAUCACUGGGCGUAAAGGGUGCGUAGGCGGGUCUUUAAGUCAGGGGUGAAAUCCUGGAGCUCAACUCCAGAACUGCCUUUGAUACUGAGGAUCUUGAGUUCGGGAGAGGUGAGUGGAACUGCGAGUGUAGAGGUGAAAUUCGUAGAUAUUCGCAAGAACACCAGUGGCGAAGGCGGCUCACUGGCCCGGUACUGACGCUGAGGAGCGAAAGCGUGGGGAGCAAACAGG